CAAAUAGCAAUAAGUGAAGGCGUCUGUUCCAGCCAGUAAUCAGAUAAGAACUGAACAAUAAUUAGCACACAUUUCAUUUGACCCAGCAUCAUCAACCAUUGACAUCCAUUGCAUUGAGAAAGCAAUCGAUGUUGUCGAUAGAGAGAAUUGAUUGGAGCUUCAUCAUGCACCAACUAUUACCUCUAAGCAUGUAAUGCAAAGCAAAGACACGUAGGCAGUGGCGGAACAUAGGUGAGACAAUGAUUUGAUACACAACCCAAUGGAGUCCCGUGUCCC
rnacentral:lncRNA from 1 species